rnacentral:tRNA from 1 species
GGCCCGGUGGCUCAGUUGGUUAGAGCGCCGCCCUGUCACGGCGGAAGUCGUCGGUUCGAGUCCGAUCCGGGUCG